CCCGCCACUGCACCUGACCAGUUCUGUUGGCUGGUGCAAUCCAGUGGUGAGCUGAUAGUAAACCCAGCUUUUAGGAAACAGGGUUAUUCUUCAUGUGGAUGAUUCUGUGCCGAAAGCAUGGGAACAGCU
rnacentral:snoRNA from 1 species